AUUGAACGCUGGCGGCAGGCCUAACACAUGCAAGUCGAGCGGAGCGGCGGAGGGGUAAGGAAUACCAAGGAAUCUGCCUGAUAGUGGGGGAGAGCGUUAGGAAACGGACGCUAAUACCGCAUACUAGCAGAUGAGCCUAGGUCGGAUUAGCUAGGUGGUGAGGUAAUGGCUCACCAAGGCUACGAUCCGUAACUGUUCUGAGAGGAUGAUCAGUCACACUGGAACUGAGACACGGUCCAGACUCCUACGGGAGGCAGCAGUGGGGAAUAUUGGACAAUGGGCGAAAGCCUGAUCCAGCCAUGCCGCGUGUGUGAAGAAGGUCUUCGGAUUGUAAAGCACUUUCAGUUGGGAGGCGUUACCGACAGAAUAAGCACCGGCUAACUCUGUGCCAGCAGCCGCGGUAAUUC
rnacentral:rRNA from 1 species